UGAAUGGACUAGCACCCCGAAUGGGAUGGACAGUUAUUCCUUACCCAGCCAGGAGGCCAUAAUUAAAGGACAGCAUGGGAGGGGUGCACGUCAGGAACGGGACCCCCAACAGGAGCAGAGGAUAUCUAGAGGAGGAGAGAGAGACAAAGCAAAGAUCCUAAAGGACAGGUGCUGUUCAUGCUUUUAAGUAUGUGAAGCACCACACGAGAAGUAUAUCACACAACAGAGCAGCAGCACCAGUCCAGCAAAUAAGGGAGCAAAGAGGAGCAGAACAAUUGACACACCGGAGCUGAAUAUUUCCAACAAAACUGUCGCCAAAUAUCACCAGAGGCUGGAAGGAAAAAAACAAAAAGAAGAAAUGUAACUCACCUUCCAUACUUCCGGGUUCCCAAGAUGGCUUCCAAUUAUCACUUCCGCUUUCUGACUCCCGAUGAUGAUGUCACUUCCGGCUCCACCUCGAUGACAUCACUUCUGACUCCCAAUGAUGACGUCACUUCUGUCUGACAGCUAUGACUUCAUCUCCUGCCAACUCAUUUCUGUCAGCCAUUUUUGAACUGUAUAAAAAUGCCAUCUUUGUCAUGUACCAUUAUCAACUACUGUAAAGUACUUUGAUCACAAAUUUUGCCUUUUUGCAUUGUCACAAUACCGAGUGUCACAAUAACGAGACAU